rnacentral:rRNA from 1 species
CUACUACUAUAUAUAUAGUNUCNCAUAGUAAUUUAUGAAUUAAAGCUCAGGCGGUUGAAGAUUAUCGUGCGUCUGAUUAGGUAGUUGGUAGGGUAAUGGCCUACCAAGCCAACGAUCAGUAGCUGGUCUGAGAGGAUGAUCAGCCACACUGGAACUGAGACACGGUCCAGACUCCUACGGGAGGCAGCAGUAGGGAAUAUUGGGCAAUGGAGGCAACUCUGACCCAGCCAUCCCGCGUGCAGGAAUAAGGCCCUAUGGGUUGUAAACUGCUUUUAUUAGGGAAGAAAAACUUCGAUUCAUCGGAGCUUGACGGUACCUAACGAAUAAGCACCGGCUAACUCCGUG